UACGUAGGUGGCAAGCGUUGUCCGGAAUUAUUGGGCGUAAAGGGCGUGUAGGCGGUUAAUUAAGUCAGUUGUGAAAACUGCGGGCUCAGCCCGGAGAUUGCAGUUGAUACUGGUUAACUUGAGUACAGGAGAGGACAGUGGAAUUCCUAGUGUAAGCGGUGAAAUGCGUAGAUAUUAGGAGGAACACCAGUGGCGAAGGCGGCUGUCUGGACUGUAACUGACGCUGAGGCGCGAAAGCGUGGGUAGCAAACAGGAUUAGAUACCCCUGUAGGU
rnacentral:rRNA from 1 species